AACACAAAAAAUGAUAUAAAAAAUGGAAUAAAUGUUAUAAGUAUUAA
rnacentral:misc_RNA from 1 species